rnacentral:rRNA from 1 species
AUUUUGGACAAUGGGCGAAAGCCUGAUCCAGCAAUGCCGCGUGCAGGAUGAAGGCCUUCGGGUUGUAAACUGCUUUUGUACGGAACGAAAAGUCUCGGGAUAAUACCCUGGGACCAUGACGGUACCGUAAGAAUAAGCACCGGCUAACUACGUGCCAGCAGCCGCGGUAAUACGUAGGGUGCAAGCGUUAAUCGGAAUUACUGGGCGUAAAGCGUGCGCAGGCGGUUAUGUAAGACAGAGGUGAAAUCCCCGGGCUCAACCUGGGAAUGGCCUUUGUGACUGCAUAGCUAGAGUACGGUAGAGGGGGAUGGAAUUCCGCGUGUAGCAGUGAAAUGCGUAGAUAUGCGGAGGAACACCGAUGGCGAAGGCAAUCCCCUGGACCUGUACUGACGCUCAUGCACGAAAGCGUGGGGAGCAAAC